rnacentral:rRNA from 1 species
GUGAGGAAUAUUGGUCAAUGGGCGCAAGCCUGAACCAGUCAUGCCGCGUGCAGGAAGAAGUUCCUAUGGGAUGUAAACUGCUUUUGUAUAGGGAUAAAGAUGUUUCUGCGGAAAUAUUUGAAGGUACUAUACGAAUAAGGAUCGGCUAACUCCGUGCCAGCAGCCGCGGUAAUACGGAGGAUUCGAGCGUUAUCCGGAUUUAUUGGGUUUAAAGGGUGCGUAGGCGGAUGAAUAAGUCAGAGGUGAAAUGCAUAUGCUCAACAUAUGAAUUGCCUUUGAAACUGUUCGACUAGGAUACAAAUGGAGCAGGCGGAAUGAACUGUGUAGAGGUGACAUUCAUAGAUAUAGUUCAGAACAUCGAUCGCGAAGGCAGCUUGCUAAGAUGUGAUUGACGCUGAGGCACGAAAGCGAGGGGAGCGAACAGGAUUAGAUACCCGAGUAGUCC